rnacentral:rRNA from 1 species
GACGAACGCUGGCGGCGUGCUUAACACAUGCAAGUCGAACGGAAAGGCCCUGCUUUUGUGGGGUGCUCGAGUGGCGAACGGGUGAGUAACACGUGAGUAACCUGCCCUUGACUUUGGGAUAACUUCAGGAAACUGGGGCUAAUACCGGAUAGGAGCUCCUGCUGCAUGGUGGGGGUUGGAAAGUUUCGGCGGUUGGGGAUGGACUCGCGGCUUAUCAGCUUGUUGGUGGGGUAGUGGCUUACCAAGGCUUUGACGGGUAGCCGGCCUGAGAGGGUGACCGGCCACAUUGGGCCUGAGAUACGGCACAGACGCCUACGGGAGGCAGCGGUGGGGAGUAUUGCACAGUGGGCGGAAGCCUGAUACAGCAACGCCGCGUGCGGGAUGACGGCCUUCGGGUUGUAAACCGCUUUCGCCUGUGACGAAGCGUGAGUGACGGUAAUGGGUAAAGAAGCACCGGCUAACUACGUG